CUGCCCACGCAUAGACGAUCUCGGUGUGCCUGCGUCUUGACGCGUCAUGUGUGGUGACAGUGAGGGAAGUUUCCGAUCCUGAGAGGUCUUCAGUUUCAAAAACGAGCCGCUGUAUUAAAAGCUUUAUUAUUUUUGUUGGUACUUCUCAUCAUGUCCCAGCUGCAGCGUGUCUGCAGACCAUCAUGCAGUGGAGGAGACACGUCACCGGCCUCGCUUUUAGCCUUGUUUUUGUUGUGUCAUAUUUCACGAACAAGUUUGUCCUGUCAGUGUUAAACUUCACCUAUCCAACCUUAUUUCAAGGAUGGCAGACAUUUAUUGGAGCUAUCCUGCUUCUAGUGUCUGGAAAGCUGGGAUGGGUGGAAAUAAACCGCAUCACCAGAUCUGCGGCUCUGUCCUGGCUUCCGGGCUCCCUCCUAUUUGUGGGGAACAUUUACGCUGGUUCCCGGGCAUUAUCACGUUUAGACAUUCCCUUCUUCUUCACUCUUCAGAACUGCUCUCAUCCCUUUAGCUACGUGAUCUUCAAGGUCAUGCGCAGAGAGCAGAAGACACAGUGGCUGAAAUUUAUCAGCCUAUGCCUCAUGCUGCUUUCAGCCAUCAACCUUCCCUUUUAUGACCCUCAGGUGGACCACAGCGGUUACCUGUGGGCCGUCUGCCAUCUCGCCUGUGUUGGUGCAUAUAGAGUCUUUCAAGUUCACCACAAGUCCGUCAACCUGAGUGAUCUUGAGCAGCAGUGCAUUAACUACCUGUUCAGCGUGCUGCUGCUGGCUGCUGCUGCUCACCCGACAGGAGCCAGCACAGCAGACCCUCCACCUCUGUCACACCACCCCCCUGCAUGUCCUCUUUUACUACAUCCGUGGAUCUCCUCUGAGGUGACCUCACAGGUGCCUUGGAGUUCCCGUCCCUGCAGUCGCACACAUUUCACUGUGGCUGCUGUGCCAGCGCUCUGCUGGGCUUUUUGCUGCGGUUGGCUACAGUCAAAUUAAAAAGCGGACUGUCCUUUGAACACUUUGGGGUCUGGAUCUUUUUAUCUAAGGUUACUGCCAUGCUCCUGUCUCCAUUUAUUUUCUCUGUGAACUCUAAUGCUUCGUCUCUUUUGUGUGUGGUCGUCAGUCACGUCGGAGAGGCUCUGCUGAUCUAUUCUGAGAGGGAUACUCACGUGUGACGAAUUUCAGCACUUUAGACGAGUUCACCUCAAAUGACUCUUUCCUUAUUAACUGGGGAUGCAGAUUCUAUUUUUCUACAUUCAUUUUAUAACUUUGUCUAUUAUCUGAUCUCCUGACCAAAUAAAAGUUUGGUACAAACUGUCCUCACUGCACUGGGUCAGAAUUUAAAGGUCUGCAUAUUAUUAUUUACUUAUUUGUAGAUGAACUGUGACAAUCCCAACACUCCAUAGAAACAAUUAUUUAUUCAUCCAAACUAUCUGCACAAAAAAACAUUUAAAAAAACAAAACACAAGUCAGAACGACUGAAGGGGAGAAAGGAAACAACGGCAACCUUCUUCACAACAUCAGUUCUUUUACAGAUGGACAUUUUUAUUUCUCCUCCUUGUUUCGCUUCGGUGAGAAUAGAGCAUUUAAUGGCUGCCUCCUCCGUAAGCGCGCCUCAGGAUUCUUCUCUUCUUUGAUGUAACCUACAACAGAGGACGCAUCCUAGUAUUAAAGACCGUACAAUCCUCUCUCGUGCACUGAAAAGCAUGACAGGAUGAAGAAUGGUCCUGCUGAGAAAUGGGUUCAAAUGUUUUGCCCUUACUGCUUUAAUCUACAGUGCAUAACUGUUAAAUUACCUCUCUCAAUGCAUGUUUGCGUUGAUGGGAAUCCAACUUCCCAGAAGUUUUCAGGUGUGCAUGGAGGAACGUACAGGAAACGAUGCCUUGAGCAAGCAGACAGCUUUUUCUGUUUUUCCUCCUCUGGCAGAUGGGCGUAAUACUGCAGGUAAACAAUUAUUUUAAAAUAGGAUCAGUGUAAGCAGUGUGUCAGUUUUAUUAAACUCAAGUACUCAGAAUACUUACAAUUUCACAUUCCUUGCAGGUAGUGCCCUUCAGUUUUCUUCUCUCAUCCUUUUUGCGAACGACUGCUACAUGUGCAAACGCUGGGUGUCUAAUCCAGAGACAGAUCUAGGUUAUGGAAAACUGACAAUGACCAGCAAACAUGAUCAUCUUCAGAUAAACACCUGAAAAGGUUGAUCAGUUUCUUACCGUGCUUUAGACUGGCAUGCACCGUCUUCAGGAGGAUCUUCUUAUUUGGAGAAUUUAGGGGGGG